rnacentral:rRNA from 1 species
UACGAAGGGGGCUAGCGUUGUUCGGAAUCACUGGGCGUAAAGCGCACGUAGGCGGAUCUUUAAGUCAGGGGUGAAAUCCCGAGGCUCAACCUCGGAACUGCCUUUGAUACUGGGGAUCUCGAGUCCGGGAGAGGUGAGUGGAACUGCGAGUGUAGAGGUGAAAUUCGUAGAUAUUCGCAAGAACACCAGUGGCGAAGGCGGACUCACUGGCCCGGAACUGACGCUGAGGUGCGAAAGCGUGGG